ACCUGCUCGUCACAUCUCGUAUACGAUACUGAUGACUAUGAUCAAUGCCUUGAAAAUCCUCCUAUGGCUGCUGCUUGUACUUAUUCGUAUGAAGCAUACUGCGUGAUCCAAGAAAGCGGAAUACAAAAAGGAAACAGAAGAAGUGUUUAGGGAUAUCCUCGAAGAAUAACUCGCGGUUGCUUCCAUUCUGACAUCGGAACUGCCUGCUCUACUUACACACCUCGUGACACAGAAAUGGAGUCAUGCAAUCGUAUAUGCGCAACAGAUGGAUGUAAUGUCGGCAGUGGAAGCUCUAUUCCGUUCCAGACGAUGAUCACCGUCGUAGCAUUUGCUCUUCUUGGAAAGCUAACACAAAUAUAGGUUCCUAUACUCGUGAUUAUAUCAAAUAUUAAUCUAAAUACUAGUAUGGUUUUAUGCAGAUUUCAUAUUAUUGUUACUAUGUUACAACGUCAAACAAAAAUUUGAUUUCAUUCGAAGAUAAAUUUGUAUUGCGAAAUUGUUUCAUUCAUUUUCAUGUUUUUAACAAACAAAUUCCACUUCAAGCGUGCCAAUUAUCAUUCCCUCAUGCUUGAUAGUGUACAAAAUGAUGUUUCCUGACUCGGUUCAGUAGUUAGAUCUGUAUAUCGAUGUGAAAUAAAUGCCACGUGCGAAAUAUUUUUAGAAUUGUUUGUGUGUUUUACACGCAUGCUGAUUUUCAUUCUCACAGUUAGGUCUGAAAACCGUUGAAAUUUUCAUGAUAACACUGCAACUUUGUGUUAUAAUUUUGUUUAUACGUAGUUCAUUCAGCGACGAUGACUCUUUAUUUAAUACAUCUGGAAAAUCGAUUUCACAAAUAUGUAUGUAAUCUUGACGAGUCGCCAUAAAAAUAAAUAUAGUCCAACAGUACAGCGUGUUAUAUUAUUUUUUGUACAGAAAAGUAAUCAGAAUUAGUAGUAACGCUUUGAUAUACCUCACGAUUCACAAUUUUAGGAAUAAGGGUUGUGCUGUUUCUG